rnacentral:rRNA from 1 species
CGUGGAGACAGGUGGUGCAUGGCUGUCGUCAGCUCGUGUCGUGAGAUGUUGGGUUAAGUCCCGCAACGAGCGCAACCCUCACCCCUUGUUGCCAUCAGGUCACGCUGGGCACUCUAGAGGAACUGCCCCGGUCAACGGGGAGGGAGGCGGGGAUGACGUCAAGUCAUCAUGCCCCUUACGUCCUGGGCUACACACGUGCUACAAUGGCCGGUACAAAGGGAUGCCACACCGCGAGGUAGAGCUAAACCCGAAAAGCCGGUCUAAGUUCAGAUUGGAGUCUGCAACUCGACUCCAUGAAGGAGGAAUCGCUAGUAAUCGCGUAUCAGCACGACGCGGUGAAUACGUUCCCGGGCCUUGUAUACACCGCCCGUCACACCACGAAAGCCUGCUGUACUCGAAGUCGCUGAG